CUGUGGCAUUGGAGACCACUGACAGAUAUGGAGAAAUACACCAAAAAUGAGCUCCAGACGAUUUACAUCUGAAGAAGUUUUGUCGCAGGUUAUGAACUGGGAUAGUGAUGCAGAGGAAGAUAUUUCAAAGACAGAGGAUCCUUCAGAGCCAGAGGACAAUGCUAUUGAUGAUCCAGAUUGUCAAUUUUCCCAUGAUGAGGAGGAUUCAGAGGAU